GCGCCUGUAGCUCAGCGGUCAGAGCAACGGCCUUAUAAGCCGGAGGUCGGUGGUUCGAUUCCACCCAGGCGCA
rnacentral:tRNA from 1 species